rnacentral:tRNA from 1 species
GGGAGAUUAGCUCAGUUGGUAGAGCGGCGCCUUUACACGGCGUAGGUCGGCGGUUCGAGCCCGUCAUCUCUCACCA